GACGAACGCUGGCGGCGUGCUUAACACAUGCAAGUCGAACGGAAAGGCCUUUUCGGAGGUACUCGAGUGGCGAACGGGUGAGUAACACGUGGGUGAUCUGCCCUGCCCUCUGGGAUAAGCCUGGGAAACUGGGUCUAAUACCGGAUAGGACCGCACUCUAGUGUGUGUGGUGGAAAGUUUUUUCGGUGUAGGAUGAGCCCGCGGGCUAUCAUCUUGUUGGUGGGGUAAUGGCCUACCAAGGCGGCGACGGGUAGCCGGACUGAGAGGUUGGUCGGCCACAUUGGGGCUGAGGUACGGCCCAGACUCCUACGGGGGGCAGCAGGGGGGAAUAUUGCACAAUGGGCGCAAGGCUGAUGCAGCGACGCCGCGUGGGGGAUGACGGCCUUCGGGUUGUAAACCCCCUUCGCCAGGGACGAAGCGUUUUGUGACGGUACCUGGUGAAGAAGCACCGGCUAACUACGUG
rnacentral:rRNA from 1 species